rnacentral:rRNA from 1 species
CAAGGAUUCCCCUAGUAACUGCGAGUGAAGCGGGAAAAGCUCAAAUUUAAAAUCUGGCGGUCUUUGGCCGUCCGAGUUGUAGUCUGGAGAAGUGUUUUCCGUGCUGGACCGUGUACAAGUCUCUUGGAACAGAGCGUCAUAGAGGGUGAGAAUCCCGUCUUUGACACGGACUACCAGUGCUUUGUGAUGCGCUCUCAAAGAGUCGAGUUGUUUGGGAAUGCAGCUCAAAAUGGGUGGUAAAUUCCAUCUAAAGCUAAAUAUUGGCGAGAGACCGAUAGCGAACAAGUACCGUGAGGGAAAGAUGAAAAGCACUUUGGAAAGAGAGUUAAACAGUACGUGAAAUUGCUGAAAGGGAAACRCUUGAAGUCAGUCGCGUUGAUCAGAACUCAGCCUUGCUUUUGCUUGGUGCAUUUUCUGGUUGACGGGCCAGCAUCGAUUUUGACCAUCGGAAAAAGGCCAGGGGAAUGUGGCACCUUCGGGUGUGUUAUAGCCCUUGGUCACAUACGGUGGUUGGGAUCGAGGACCGCAGCACGCCUUUAUGGCCGGGGUUCGCCCACGUUCGUGCUUAGGAUGCUGGCGUAAUGGCUUUAAACGACCCGUCUUGAAACACGGACCAAGGAGUCUAACAUGCCUGCGAGUGUUUGGGUGGAAAACCCGAGCGCGUAAUGAAAGUGAAAGUUGAGAUCCCUGUCGUGGGGAGCAUCGACGCCCGGACCUGAACUUCGGUGAUGGCUCUGCGGUAGAGCAUGUAUGUUGGGACCCGAAAGAUGGUGAACUAUGCCUGAAUAGGGUGAAGCCAGAGGAAACUCUGGUGGAGGCUCGUAGCGAUUCUGACGUGCAAAUCGAUCGUCAAAUUUGGGUAUAGGGGCGAAAGACUAAUCGAACCAUCUAGUAGCUGGU